UCUGCAGUCGAGGGAGAAGCUGUCUUCGGACAGUGGAGACCGGCGCACGGGUGCGUAACACGUAUACAACCUACCUUUUACAGGGGGAUAGCUCAGAGAAAUCUGAAUUAAUACCCCAUAAUAUUACACUUUGGCAUCAUUGUGUGAUUAAAGCUCCGGCGGUAAUUGAUGGGUAUGCGUUGCAUUAGCUAGUUGGUAAGGUAACGGCUUACCAAGGCUACGAUGCAUAGGGGGUCUGAGAGGAUGAUCCCCCACACUGGUACUGAGACACGGACCAGACUCCUACGGGAGGCAGCAGUAGGGAAUAUUGGGCAAUGGACGAGAGUCUGACCCAGCCAUGCCGCGUGCAGGAUGACGGUCCUAUGGAUUGUAAACUGCUUUUAUAUGAGAAGAAACCCUUGGAUGCGUCCGAGGCUGACGGUAUCAUAUGAAUAAGGAUCGGCUAACUUCGUGCCAGCAGCCGCGGUAAGACGAAGGAUUCAAGCGUUGUCCGGAUUUACUGGGUUUAAAGGGUGCGUAGGCGGAUUAUUAAGUCAGUGGUGAAAGCCCGCAGCUCAACUGCGGAACUGCCAUUGAAACUGAUAAUCUUGAAUAUGGUUGAGGUAGAUGGAAUGUAACAUGUAGCGGUGAAAUGCUUAGAUAUGUUACAGAACUCCGAUUGCGAAGGCAGUCUGCUAAGCCAUCAUUGACGCUGAUGCACGAAAGCGUGGGGAGCGAACAGGAUUAGAUACCCUGGUAGUCCACGCCCUAAACGUUGAUAACUCGCUGUUGGCGAUAUACUGUCAGUGGCUAAGCGAAAGCGUUAAGUUAUCCACCUGGGAAGUACGACCGCAAGGUUGAAACUCAAAGGAAUUGACGGGG
rnacentral:rRNA from 1 species